rnacentral:rRNA from 1 species
GACGUAGGGCGCGAGCGUUGUCCGGAUUUAUUGGGCGUAAAGAGCUCGUAGGCGGCUUGUCGCGUCGUCCGUGAAAACUUGGGGCUCAACCCCAAGCUUGCGGUCGAUACGGGCAGGCUAGAGUUCGGUAGGGGAGACUGGAAUUUCCGGUGUAGCGGUGAAAUGCGUAGAUAUCGGAAGGAACACCAGUGGCGAAAGCGGCUUCCUGGUCCAGCACCGACGUUCAGGCACGAAAGCGUGGGGAGCAAACAGG